rnacentral:rRNA from 1 species
GACGAACGCUGGCGGCGUGCUUAACACAUGCAAGUCGAACGAAAAGAGGGAAAGAGCUUGCUCUUUCCGGAAUUGAGUGACAAACGGGUGAGUAACACGUAAACAACCUGCCUUCAGGAUGGGGACAACAGACGGAAACGACUCCUAAUACCGAAUAAGCCCCAAGAGCCGCAUGGCCCAUGGAAGAAACGGUGGCCUCUACCUGUAAGCUAUCGCCUGAAGAGGGGUUUGCGUCUGAUUAGCUGGUUGGAGGGGUAACGGCCCACCAAGGCGACGAUCAGUAGCCGGUCUGAGAGGAUGAACGGCCACACUGGAACUGAGACACGGUCCAGACUCCUACGGGAGGCAGCAGUGGGGAAUCUUCCGCAAUGGGCGAAAGCCUGACGGAGCAACGCCGCGUGAGUGAGGACGGCCUUCGGGUUGUAAAACUCUGUGAUCCGGGACGAAAAGGCAGAGUGCGAAGAACAAACUGCAUUGACGGUACCGGAAAAGCAAGCCACGGCUAACUACGUG